rnacentral:rRNA from 1 species
GCUCAACCGAGGAAGUGCUUCGAAACUGGUAAACUUGAGUGCAGAAGAGGACAGUGGAACUCCAUGUGUAGCGGUGGAAUGCGUAGAUAUAUGGAAGAACACCAGUGGCGAAGGCGGCUUUCUGGUCUGUAACUGACGCUGAGAUUCGAAAGCAUGGGUAGCAAACAGGAUUAGAUACCCUGGUAGUCCAUGCCGUAAACGAUGAAUGCUAAGUGUUGGAGGGUUUCCGCCCUUCAGUGCUGCAGCUAACGCAUUAAGCAUUCCGCCUGGGGAGUACGACCGCAAGGUUGAAACUCAAAGGAAUUGACGGGGGCCCGCACAAGCGGUGGAGCAUGUGGUUUAAUUCGAAGCAACGCGAAGAACCUUACCAGGUCUUGACAUACCAUGAAAAGCUUAGAGAUAAGUCUUUCCCUUCGGGGACAUGGAUACAGGUGGUGCAUGGUUGUCGUCAGCUCGUGUCGUGAGAUGUUGGGUUAAGUCCCGCCACGAGCGCAACCCUUAUUAUCAGUUGCCAGCAUUCAGUUGGGCACUCUGGUGAGACUGCCGGUGACAAACCGGAGGAAGGUGGGGAUGACGUCAAAUCAUCAUGCCCCUUAUGACCUGGGCUACACACGUGCUACAAUGGUCGGUACAACG